UUAAUACUUCAUCCGUCCGGAAUUACUUGACGCUCAAACGGAUGUAUCUAGACGUAUUUUAGUGCUAGGUACAUCAGUUUGAGCGUCAAGUAAUUCUGGACGGAGGGAAUAUAUU
rnacentral:pre_miRNA from 1 species